rnacentral:rRNA from 1 species
AACCUCCGCAAUGUGAGAAAUCGCGACGGGGGGAUCCCAAGUGCCAUUCUUAACGGGAUGGCUUUUCUUAAGUGUAAAAGGCUUUUGGAAUAAGAGCUGGGCAAGACCGGUGCCAGCCGCCGCGGUAACACCGGCAGCUCUAGUGGUAGCAGUUUUUAUUGGGCCUAAAGUGUCCGUAGCCGGUUUAAUAAGUCUCUGGUGAAAUCCUGUAGCUUAACUGUGGGAAUUGCUGGAGAUACUAUUAGACUUGAGACCGGGAGAGGUUAGAGGUACUCCCAGGGUAGAGGUGAAAUUCUGUAAUCCUGGGAGGACCGCCUGUUGCGAAGGCGUCUAACUGGAACGGUUCUGACGGUGAGGGACGAAAGUUAGGGGCGCGGACCGGAUUAGAUACCCGGGUAGUCCUAACCGUAAACGAUGCGGACUUGGUGUUGGGGUGGCUUUGAGCUGCUCCAGUGCCGAAGGGAAGCUGUUAAGUCCGCCGCCUGGGAAGUACGGUCGCAAGACUGAAACUUAAAGGAAUU